AGGACGAACGCUGGCGGCGCGCCUAAAACAUGCAAGUCGAACGAGAAGCCCGGGCUUGCCCGGGUGGACAGUGGCGAACGGGUGAGUAACACGUGAGGAACCUGCCCCGAAGACCGGGACAACACCGGGAAACCGGUGCUAAUACCGGAUACCUUCACCGGAUCGCAUGGUCUUGUGAAGAAAUGGAUUCCGCUUCGGGAUGGCCUCGCGGCCUAUCAGCUUGUUGGUGAGGUAACGGCUCACCAAGGCAACGACGGGUAGCUGGUCUGAGAGGAUGUCCAGCCACACUGGGACUGAGACACGGCCCAGACUCCUACGGGAGCAGCAGUUAGGAAUCUUGCGCAAUGGACGAAAGUCUGACGCAGCGACGCCGCGUGCGGGAUGAAGGCCUUGGGUUGUAAACCGCUUCAGCAGGGACGAAAUUGACGGUACCUGCAGAAGAACGCCCCGGACAACUACGCGCCAGCAGCCGC
rnacentral:rRNA from 1 species